UACAGAGGUCUCAAGCGUUGUUCGGAUUCAUUGGGCGUAAAGGGUGCGUAGGUGGCGGGGUAAGUCAGGUGUGAAAUCUCGGGGCUCAACCCCGAAACUGCACUUGAUACUGCCUUGCUCGAGUACUGGAGAGGAGACUGGAAUUUACGGUGUAGCAGUGAAAUGCGUAGAUAUCUGGAGGAACACCGGUGGCGAAGGCGGCAUCCUGGACCAACACUGACGCUGAGUGAGCGAAAGCCAGGGGAGCAAACGGG
rnacentral:rRNA from 1 species